CCCCAGUCCCCACAUAGAGACCACCAAACCCCCCGAAUCGUCAAGACACAGUCCCCAUUGUUCAGACAUAGGCCUGUUAGUGUACAGCCAGAGUGUCAUCUAGGUUAUGUCAGCCAGCCACGAUUUAGCUCUGUGUUGCAGAGUAUGUUGUUGAGGACCAGCAGUGCAGUGGCAGAUGAGUCUGGAUAGCCGAGUGUGGUGAGUAGAGAGGGAUCGGCUCAUGCCUUGCAUGUUCAGCCUUGAAAUAUGAUGUAGCUCCGUUUUGGGUGUCUCGUGCUCUCCGCAGGGUCUCAGUGUCAAUUGUUAGCGCCGUCUGAAGCCUGCGUGAUUUGAGUAGUGGUGCACAUUAUUUGACUGCAGAGGGCGUCAAGAGCCCUGAAGGAGGCCACCAUCUCUACGGAGUGUAGAAUUGCUCCGCUGCCUUCUUACAAGGUAGGCGAGUCCUCCAAGUGAAGUAGGGUCCCAGGGUGGACGGGAAUUAUCCCCACCUGUCCAAAGGGGGGAAUCAGGGCCAGACCCAUGGGAAACGAAGGAUCCAGCCGGUUGCAGACAGGCAGGAUAGCUGGGUGGCGGCCAUCCGCUCUGCCUGCCGCCUGAGUAGGCCUCAUGGAGAUGUUAUGUCUCCUUUCGAGAGGCCAAAACCCAAAUGUCGGGAUUAGCUCCAGAACCAGUACCUCUGAGUGCUAUGGACUGCCGAUUCUCUGUGCUGGAUGAUGGGCCAAACUACUUAUAUGGGCCAAAGGGUUUGCACAUUGUGGGAGCUGAUCUUUCAU